rnacentral:rRNA from 1 species
GUCUGGUGCCAGCAGCCGCGGUAAUUCCAGCUCCAAUAGCGUAUAUUAAAAUUGUUGCAGUUAAAAAGCUCGUAGUUGAAUUUCUGCUGCAUUGCAUCUUCUUUUUGAUGAGUUGAUGUAUUGUGGCUUAUUUCGGAUGAUACUUGUAUUAUCCGGAUGAUUACUUUGAGAAAAUUAUAGUGCUCAAAGCAUGCUUUUGCCUUGAAUAGUUUAUCAUGGAAUAAUAAAGUACGACUUUGGUUCUAUUUUGUUGGUUUUAGGUACCAAAGUAAUGGUUAAUAGGAACAGUUGGGGGCAUUCUUAUUUAACUGUCAGAGGUGAAAUUCUUAUAUUUGUUAAAGACGAACUACUGCGAAAGCAUUUGCCAAGGAUGUUUUCAUUAAUCAAGAACGAAAGUUAGGGGAUCGAAGACAAUA